AUGCUAAAUCCAGAAGAACAGGGAUGCAGCCUUUGCUCAUGCUCUGAAUGCAUGUUUGUUUCCAAGAAGGAGCACACCUUCUCUAUAGGACCAAAAUUUCUGAGUAAAAACAGAGCCCUCUCUUGUGGUCUAGGACCUGAAGGAAUAUACAAGGUAGUCAAAACCAUAACAGGGAGAUUCCAUGACCUGACACAUCUUUAGUGCUUACAGGUGCUGCUGCAAUAAUACAAGAAGCUCCAUUACUCUUUCAGACUUGGGCACACGGACAGAACGCUGCAUGAGAACAGUGGCACAGAUUCAAGGAAAAAUUUUCCUUCCCUCUCUUGUGGGAUUUCUGUUGUUUUGAAUCUGAUCACAGGAGAAGAGUUCCAAGUCAGCAAGAAGGAGGGAAAAGUGAGAAAUGCUUGGGAAAAUUGAAAUGCUGCUGAGGAUUUAGGCAAAGGACACAGUCUAGGAGAGCAGAAUGAAAGUGUGUAUAACCAGCAAUUUCCACAGUUACGAUUUUAUUAAAACUGCUCUUGUUACUCUAUUGUAACUAAACUGACUUGUAUACUUACAAAUAGGGAAUAACCACUUUAAAGAAAUUGAUGUAAAAUGCUUUAACUAGUCUUUUGUUAAAGAGAGUGUCCAUGUUAGGAUUUUUCGACAAUUUGCAAAGUUAAUGUUUCUUAAAUGGGAAAGUUUUGAAUUCCCUAGAAAUUCUAUAGAAAACCCGAGUUGUGUGUGUUUCUUGGCUACCUCCUCCUUUUCCAGAUGCCUUGUAACUGUGAUAUAGCAGGAAAAAACAAUGCUAGCUUACUAGCAUAGUAAGAGAUGCAUAGUAGUUCCUCUCCCUCUGUAGGAGGGCAGAGGUAAAUGAAAUCUCUUUGAGCAAACUGUGCAUUAAAUGGCAACUUGCGGAGAUGACGUGCAUGUUUGCAGAGAACUAGGAGGCUACCUAAAAUAGAGAUUUGAAGUCACG
rnacentral:lncRNA from 1 species